rnacentral:rRNA from 1 species
CUCAGAUUGAACGCUGCGGCAUGCUACACAUGCAAGUCGAACGGGUACUUCGGUACUUAGUGCGGACGGGUGAGUAAGGCGUAGGAAUCUGCCACGAGAGGGGACAACCUGGGAAACUCAGGCUAAUACCGCAUACGCUCGCGAGAGGAAAGCGGGGGACUUCGGACCUCGCGCUGGUGGAAGAGCCUACGUCCGAUUAGCUAGUUGGUAGGGUAAAAGCCUACCAAGGCGACGAUCGGUAGCUGGUCUGAGAGGAUGAUCAGCCACACUGGGACUGAGACACGGCCCAGACUCCUACGGGAGGCAGCAGUGGGGAAUAUUGGACAAUGGGCGCAAGCCUGAUCCAGCAAUGCCGCGUGGGUGAAGACGGCCUGCGGGUUGUAAAGCCCUUUAAGUGGGGAGGAACGGUCGGGUGUGAACAGCGCCUGAUUAUGACGUUACCCAC